CUUAACCGGGCGUUAAGUUGCAGGGUAUAGACCCGAAACCCGGUGAUCUAGCCAUGGGCAGGUUGAAGGUUGGGUAACACUAACUGGAGGACCGAACCGACUAAUGUUGAAAAAUUAGCGGAUGACCUGUGGCUGGGGGUGAAAGGCCAAUCAAACCGGGAGAUAGCUGGUUCUCCCCGAAAGCUAUUUAGGUAGCGCCUCGUGAAUUCAUCUCCGGGGGUAGAGCACUGUUUCGGCUAGGGGGCCAUCCCGGCUUACCAACCCGAUGCAAACUGCGAAUACCGGAGAAUGUUAUCACGGGAGACACACGGCGGGUGCUAACGUCCGUCGUGAAGAGGGAAACAACCCAGACCGCCAGCUAAGGUCCCAAAGUCAUGGUUAAGUGGGAAACGAUGUGGGAAGGCCCAGACAGCCAGGAUGUUGGCUUAGAAGCAGCCAUCAUUUAAAGAAAGCGUAAUAGCUCACUGGUCGAGUCGGCCUGCGCGGAAGAUGUAACGGGGCUAAACCAU
rnacentral:rRNA from 2 species